CCUACGGGAGGCAGCAGUGAGGAAUAUUGGUCAAUGGACGAGAGUCUGAACCAGCCAAGUAGCGUGAAGGAUGACUGCCCUAUGGGUUGUAAACUUCUUUUAUAUGGGAAUAAAACGUUCCACGUGUGGGAUUUUGUAUGUACCAUAUGAAUAAGGAUCGGCUAACUCCGUGCCAGCAGCCGCGGUAAUACGGAGGAGCCGAGCGUUAUCCGGAUUUAUUGGGUUUAAAGGGAGCGUAGGGGGAUUGUUAAGUCAGGUGUGAAAGUUUGUGGCGCAACCGUAAAAUUGCAGUUGAAACUGGCAGUCUUGCGUACAGUAGAGGUGGGCGGAAUUCGUGGUGUAGCGGUGAAAUGCUUAGAUAUCACGCAGAACUCCGAUUGCGAAGGCAGUUCACUGGACUGCAACUGACACUGAGGCUCGAAAGUGUGGGUAUCAAACAGGAUUAGAUACCCGUGUAGUC
rnacentral:rRNA from 1 species